GACGAACGCUGGCGGCGUGCUUAACACAUGCAAGUCGAACGGAAAGGCCCUGCUUUUGUGGGGUGCUUGAGUGGCGAACGGGUGAGUAACACGUGAGUAACCUGCCCUUGACUUUGGGAUAACUUCAGGAAACUGGGGCUAAUACCGGAUAGGAGCUCCUGCUGCAUGGUGGGGGUUGGAAAGUUUCGGCGGUUGGGGAUGGACUCGCGGCUUAUCCGCUUGUUGGUGGGGUAGUGGCUUACCAAGGCUUUGACGGGUAGCCGGCCUGAGAGGGUGAACGGCCACAUUGGGACUGAGAGACGGCGCAGACUCCUACGGGAGGCAGCAGGGGGGAAUAUUGCACAAUGGGCGGAAGCCUGAUGCAGCAACGCCGCGUGCGGGAUGACGGCCUUCGGGUUGUAAACCGCUUUCGCCUGUGACGAAGCGUGAGUGACGGUAAUGGGUAAAAAAGCACCGGCUAACUACGUG
rnacentral:rRNA from 1 species